AUUGAACGCUGGCGGCAGGCCUAACACAUGCAAGUCGAGCGGAGAUGAGGUGCUUGCACCUUAUCUUAGCGGCGGACGGGUGAGUAAUGCUUAGGAAUCUGCCUAUUAGUGGGGGACAACAUUCCGAAAGGAAUGCUAAUACCGCAUACGUCCUACGGGAGAAAGCAGGGGAUCUUCGGACCUUGCGCUAAUAGAUGAGCCUAAGUCGGAUUAGCUAGUUGGUGGGGUAAAGGCCUACCAAGGCGACGAUCUGUAGCGGGUCUGAGAGGAUGACCCGCCACACUGGGACUGAGACACGGCCCAGACUCCUACGGGAGGCAGCAGUGGGGAAUAUUGGACAAUGGGGGGAACCCUGAUCCAGCCAUGCCGCGUGUGUGAAGAAGGCCUUAUGGUUGUAAAGCACUUUAAGCGAGGAGGAGGCUACUGAGACUAAUACUCUUGGAUAGUGGACGUUACUCGCAGAAUAAGCACCGGCUAACUCUGUGCCAGCCGCCGCCGUAAUAC
rnacentral:rRNA from 1 species